rnacentral:lncRNA from 1 species
UGACAUUCUAGCUUGGCAAGAGGAAAGUUACUAGCCUAAAACUUUGGAUGAACUGGAGAUUGCCACCUGUGAUGAAAGACACUAGGAAUAUUCACUUGGUUAGAAGAAAUUUGACCACAACAUUUUUUAGAAAAUUGCCUCUUAUCAUCAAAUCGAUGACAAUUUACCCCCUUUGGUCCAAGUCAAAAACACCUGAGAAGGUUUCAACAAACCUAUGGUAACACUUUUGCACAACAUGGCCAAUCC